rnacentral:misc_RNA from 1 species
AUUUAGCCCGGAUUGGCGCAAUUGUUUGAGCUCAUUUUAAUGAUUUUCGGCGCGGCAGCUUCGCUGCCGCGCCGAAAAUCAUUAAAAUAGCGAGUGCAGAAAGCCGGAAAAAGC